rnacentral:lncRNA from 1 species
UAGAUAUUCUGUCAACCAAUUCUGACGUUCAGUUGUUGUUGUUCCUUUCGCGGUGAAAUUGGGCUUCAAUGCUCCGCUUAUCCAUUUAAUUCGCAUUCCUUAUUUGGCUUGUAGUGCCCAAAGUGUUUUCACCAACAAACCUCUCUCAUUUUGUUCUUUCUCUCAACUUACCGUCGCCUCAAGGUGCCCGUGAAGGUUUUCACCAAUAAGACUCUCUCAUUUUCUUUGCUCUCAGCUUUCGUUGUCUUGCGGUACCCGUGAGGGUUUUCAUCAUUUCGGCUCUCUCAUUUUCAGUUUUCUUGCUUGGACCCCAGUGGUUUUAUUUCUCUCAGCUUUCAUCGCCUUGCGGUACCCGUGAAGGUUUUCAUCAAUCCGGCUCUCUCUCAUUUUUAUUUUCCUUGCUUGGACCGGAGUGUUGCCCCUGGCAUGAAUUACCCUUACCUGCUUGACUUGGCAUUUUUCAAAAAACUGAUAGGAAGGUCUUUCUUUGGCCUAUGAUGUGGAUUUUGGACGAGGUUAGAAAAGAAGGGUAUAAAAGGCUAAAAAGAAUGUCAAAAUGGGUUAAAAAAUACAACCUUCGAAAUCCUAUUUCUUUCAACAGUCGCAACUUUUGCCCUAGGUUUUUGGUUGGUAACUUUUGGAAUUUUAUUUUGGCAUAAAUGAACCUCAGAGAGGCUGCCUACGUACCCUUUUGGGAUCAAGUCAAACGU